rnacentral:rRNA from 1 species
UACGAGAGGCGCAAACGUUAUUCGGAAUUACUGGGCUUAAAGAGUUCGUAGGCGGCGCAGAAAGUCGGGUGUGAAAGCCCUCGGCUCAACCGAGGAAUUGCGCUCUAAACUACUGUGCUUGAGGAACCUAGAGGUGAGCAGAACUGAUGGUGGAGCGGUGAAAUGCGUUGAUAUCAUCAGGAAUACCGGAGGCGAAGGCGGCUCACUGGGGGUUUUCUGACGCUGAGGAACGAAAGCCAGGGGAGCGAACGGG